GACGAACGCUGGCGGCGUGCCUAAUACAUGCAAGUAGAACGCUGAAGGAGGAGCUUGCUUCUCUGGAUGAGUUGCGAACGGGUGAGUAACGCGUAGGUAACCUGCCUGGUAGCGGGGGAUAACUAUUGGAAACGAUAGCUAAUACCGCAUAAUAUUGACUAUUGCAUGAUAGUCAGUUGAAAGGUGCAACUGCACCACUACCAGAUGGACCUGCGUUGUAUUAGCUAGUUGGUGGGGUAACGGCUCACCAAGGCGGCGAUACAUAGCCGACCUGAGAGGGUGAUCGGCCACACUGGGACUGAGACACGGCCCAGACUCCUACGGGAGGCAGCAGUAGGGAAUCUUCGGCAAUGGACGGAAGUCUGACCGAGCAACGCCGCGUGAGUGAAGAAGGUUUUCGGAUCGUAAAGCUCUGUUGUAAGAGAAGAACGAGUGUGAGAGUGGAAAGCUCACACUGUGACGGUAUCUUACCAGAAAGGGACGGCUAACUACGUG
rnacentral:rRNA from 1 species